rnacentral:rRNA from 1 species
GAUGAACGCUGGCGGCGUGCCUAAUACAUGCAAGUCGAGCGAACAGAUGAGGAGCUUGCUCCUCUGACGUUAGCGGCGGACGGGUGAGUAACACGUGGAUAACCUACCUAUAAGACUGGGAUAACUUCGGGAAACCGGAGCUAAUACCGGAUAAUAUAUUGAACCGCAUGGUUCAAUAGUGAAAGACGGUUUUGCUGUCACUUAUAGAUGGAUCCGCGCCGCAUUAGCUAGUUGGUAAGGUAACGGCUUACCAAGGCAACGAUGCGUAGCCGACCUGAGAGGGUGAUCGGCCACACGGGAACUGAGACACGGUCCAGACUCCUACGGGAGGCAGCAGUAGGGAAUCUGCCGCAAUGGGCGAAAGCCUGACGGAGCAACGCCGCGUGAGUGAUGAAGGUCUGCGGAUCGUAAAACUCUGUUAUUAGGGAAGAACAAAUGUGUAAGUAACGAUGCACGUCUUGACGGUACCUAAUCAGAAAGCCACGGCUAACUACGU